UACGAAGGGGGCUAGCGUUACUCGGAUUGACUGGGCGUAAAGGGCGCGUAGGCGGCUUGUACAGUCAGACGUGAAAUUCCUGGGCUCAACCUGGGGGCUGCGUUUGAUACGUGCGGGCUUGAGUUCGGAAGAGGGUCGUGGAAUUCCCAGUGUAGAGGUGAAAUUCGUAGAUAUUGGGAAGAACACCGGUGGCGAAGGCGGCUCACUGGCCCGGUACUGACGCUCAGGUGCGAAAGCGUGGGGAGCAAACAGG
rnacentral:rRNA from 1 species